rnacentral:lncRNA from 1 species
GUACUAAGUACCCAAGGGCAGUGAGCUGGGUUCCACGAAAUUACAGCCCGCAGCACCCGAGGAUUGGAAAUCCCAGGGCAGAAGGGGCGUUUCGUCUUAGGACCGCUGGACUCGGACUCGGCAUGUCGCAGCUCAGUUGUGGGGCUGCAGUGCGGCUCCCCCCAACCGUCCGCUUUCUAAGCUCCACUGUGGAGCGGCAGGUGCCGCAGCUCCUCCCCUCCCGCCUCGGCGCACUCCCGGGUCAUGGGGGCGGGGGGAGGGGAGGUGUGGUGAAGCAUCUAGACUCAGCGGCGGGCGAUCCCAUCCAAGCACCCUGAGAUCUCGGUGUUGAGAAAGAGGGGGUACAGGAGGCGGGGAGGAGGGUGAGGAGGACUGCAGAGCUCAGGCGCUGAGCUGUGCACUGGAGGGGGGAGGGAUGGGAGCUCCCUUCCAGCCUUGGGGGUCUGGGGACUCAGGGAUGUAAGGCGAGAGCAGGGGGGUGUGACAAUUCAGCAGAGGUCGGGACGUACCACGGAGCCCAGUGGCGGGGGGGGGGCAGAGGACGUGGUCAUCAAGGGGAGCCCCCGCCCGCCUUCGCAAAGGCCUACGCCUGAGGUUGCAGGGAGAACUGGAACUGGGCUCCCGGUAGGGGGAAGCGGUGUAUUAAAUCCGCCCCCUACUCAUACCCCACUUCCGAGGGGGUGGACGAUAGAGGGAGGUUGGGGUUGGAGCAGCGGCGAGGGGGCCCCUCCCUAGCACCUCCCCCCACCGGACUUGGUCGCGCCCGAAGUGUAACACUUUCUCUUUGUCGGAGGAGCUCCGCUGUUUCCUGUGCUGUAGCUCCCGUUGCAGCGGCGCCCGUGGCAGCCCUGGCGGACGCAGGAGCGAUGGCAGCGACCGAUAUAGCUCGCCAGGUGACCAGAAGUUCGAUUGCAAAGGGAGGGGAUGAUUCCAUUUGGGGGAACAAUCUAGCCUUUCUAUUCAUCCAUGGCUAUCUGGGAUUUUAAGAAGCCCACAAUUACCAGCACCCUGAGAUGAGGAAGGAGAGAAAAGCAGAGAAUAACAGCAGUGGGAGAAAGAUGCACAGCUGGAAUGGCCAUAACUGCGUUCUUCAUAACAUGAACCUUCGAAUAUUCAAUUAAAAAACAAAAUUGGUGUGUCCUCAGGGGAGGAGGCGGAAGAGAAAGAGAGUGGUGUUUCGGCCUGUGAUAUGAAAUGUGGUAUAACGUAUUUCAAAACCGCAGGUGACUGCAGAUGAGGAGAAAACAGGAAAUGUAAUUGGGGAGGAGAGUGGGGGCUCUCCCAAUUCUCAGGAGCACUCUUUGGUUUUGCCUUCCUUUUAGCUCCUCUCAGACUCUCUGCAUCCUAAUUACCUCUGCUGCAAAGCUGACUGAGCACUCUCUUUUCUUGUAUUAAAAUGUUUUUAAAUUACACAGGUAAUGUGUGAAUACAUUCAUGUUGUAAAAGAAUCAAACAAUACAGAAGCAUACUGCCU